AUGGAGUCGGGGAGCACGUUCUAUGCGGGUGAACGUCUUCACAUUGAUCCCAGCUGGCUCAUCGACCCAAAGCUUCUCUUUGUUGGGCCACGGAUCGGUGAGGGUGGACAUGCAAAGGUCUACGAGGGGAAGUACAAGAACCAAAAUGUUGCUAUCAAGAUUGUGCACAAAGGGGACACCCCUGAAGAGGUCAUCAAGAGGCAGGGUAGGUUCUUGAGAGAGGUGACCAUGCUGUCAAGGGUGCAGCACAAGAACCUUGUCAAGUUUAUUGGAGCUUGCCUAGAGCCUGUCAUGGUGGUGGUGACUGAGCUAUUAGUGGGGGGCUCUUUGCGGAAGUAUUUGGUCAGCUUACGGCCUAGGAACCUGGAGCCUCGUGUAGCCGUUGGAUUUGCAUUGGACAUCGCCCGAGCCAUGGAAUGUUUGCAUGCACACGGGAUCAUUCAUCGUGAUCUUAAACCUGAGAAUCUGCUGCUUACAGCGGACCAGAGAACAGUUAAGCUCGUCGACCUUGGUUUAGCAAGAGAAGAGACGUUAACAGAGAUGAUGACCGCAGAAACAGGAACAUAUCGUUGGAUGGCUCCCGAGUUGUACAGCACAGUCACAUUAAGGCACGGAGAAAAGAAACAUUACAACCACAAAGUAGAUGUUUACAGCUUUGCGAUUGUGUUGUGGGAACUACUACACAAUAGACUACCCUUUGAGGGCAUGUCUAAUCUGCAAGCUGCAUAUGCUGCCGCUUUCAAGAACAUCAGACCAAGUGCAGAUAAUUUGCCGGAGGAGCUGUCAGAGAUCCUAACAUCCUGCUGGAAAGAAGACCCAAGCGACAGACCAAACUUUACCCAGAUAGUUCAAAUGCUUCUCCAUUACCUCUCAACCCUUUCACCGCCAGAACAUAUGGCCCCGGCUCGCACAUUCAGUUCGGAGAAUGCAAUCUUACCUCCUGAAUCGCCUGGGACGAGCUCUCUAAUGGCUUCUCGAGGUGAUAUCACGCCUAAAGGCAAUAUUGAAGACAAGCCAAGGGGCUUCUUUUUCUGCUUCAGCCAGUGUUAUUAG
rnacentral:rRNA from 1 species